ensembl:misc_RNA Metazoa_SRP Metazoan signal recognition particle RNA
GCCAGGUGUGGUGGCACCCACCUGUAGUCCCAGCUACUCGGGAGGCUGAGGUGGGAGGAUCGCUUGAGCCCAGGAGGCUGAGGCUGCAGUGAGCUGCAUUCAAACCACUGCAUUCCAGCCUGGGUGACAAAGUGAGACCACAUCUCUA